rnacentral:tRNA from 1 species
GACUCGGUAGCUCAGCUGGUAGAGCAAAUGACUCUUAAUCAUUGGGUCGAGGGUUCGAACCCCUCCCGGGUCA